rnacentral:rRNA from 1 species
CCUACGGGGGGCUGCAGUGGGGAAUAUUGGACAAUGGGCGAAAGCCUGAUCCAGCCAUGCCGCGUGUGUGAAGAAGGCCUUCGGGUUGUAAAGCACUUUCAGUGGGGAAGAAAGCCUUGGGGCUAAUACCCUCGAGGAAGGACAUCACCCACAGAAGAAGCACCGGCUAACUCCGUGCCAGCAGCCGCGGUAAUACGGAGGGUGCGAGCGUUAAUCGGAAUUACUGGGCGUAAAGCGCGCGUAGGCGGUCUGAUAAGCCGGUUGUGAAAGCCCCGGGCUCAACCUGGGAACGGCAUCCGGAACUGUCAGGCUAGAGUGCAGGAGAGGAAGGUAGAAUUCCCGGUGUAGCGGUGAAAUGCGUAGAGAUCGGGAGGAAUACCAGUGGCGAAGGCGGCCUUCUGGACUGACACUGACGCUGAGGGGCGAAAGCGUGGGUAGCAAACAGGAUUAGAUACCCGGGUAGUC